rnacentral:rRNA from 1 species
AAGACCUUGCGCUUUUGGAGCGGCCGAUGUCUGAUUAGCUUGUUGGUGAGGUAAAGGCUUACCAAGGCUUCGAUCAGUAGCUGGUCUGAGAGGACGACCAGCCACACUGGGACUGAGACACGGCCCAGACUCCUACGGGAGGCAGCAGUGGGGAAUUUUGGACAAUGGGGGAAACCCUGAUCCAGCCAUGCCGCGUGAGUGAAGAAGGCCUUCGGGUUGUAAAGCUCUUUCAGCCGGAACGAAACGGUUACGAUUAAUACCUGUAACUACUGACGGUACCGGAAGAAGAAGCACCGGCUAACUACGUGCCAGCAGCCGCGGUAAUACGUAGGGUGCGAGCGUUAAUCGGAAUUACUGGGCGUAGAGCGUGCGCAGGUGGUUUUGUAAGUCAGAUGUGAAAUCCCCGGGCUUAACCUGGGAACU